GACGAACGCUGGCGGCGUGCUUAACACAUGCAAGUCGAACGGUGAAGCUCCAGCUUGCUGGAGUGGAUCAGUGGCGAACGGGUGAGUAACACGUGAGCAACCUUCCCCUGACUCUGGAAUAAGCGCUUGAAACGGCGACUAAUACUGGAUACGAGAAGGAUCCGCAUGGGCACUUUCUGGAAAGUUUUUCGGUUGGGGAUGGGCUCGCGGGAUAUCAGCUUGUUGGUGAGGUAAUGGCUGACCAAGGCGACGACGGGUAGACGGCCUGAGAGGGCGACCGGGCAAAUUGGGACUGAGACACGGCCCAGACUGCUACGGGAGGCAGCAGUGGGGAAUAUUGCAUAAUGGGCGAAAGCAUGAUGCAGCGACGCCGCGUGAGGGAUGAAGGCCUUCGGGUUGUAGACCUCUUUCAGCAGGGAAGAAGCGAAAGUGACGGUACCUGAAGAAGAAGCACCGGCUAACUACGUG
rnacentral:rRNA from 1 species